GACGAACGCUGGCGGCGUGCUUAACACAUGCAAGUCGAACGGUGAAGCGCCUUCCUUUUUGGUGGGUGUGGAUGAGUGGCGAACGGGUGAGUAACACGUGAGUAACCUGCCCCCUUCUUCUGGAUAACCGCAUGAAAGUGUGGCUAAUACGGGAUAUUCUGGGUCUGUCGCAUGAUGGGUCUGGGAAAGAUAUUGUUUCGGUGGGGGAUGGGCUCGCGGCCUAUCAGCUUGUUGGUGGGGUGAUGGCCUACCAAGGCGGUGACGGGUAGCCGGCCUGAGAGGGUGGACGGUCACACUGGGACUGAGACACGGCCCAGACUCCUACGGGAGGCAGCAGUGGGGAAUAUUGCACAAUGGGCGCAAGCCUGAUGCAGCGACGCCACGUGGGGGAUGGAGGCCUUCGGGUUGUGAACCUCUUUCGCCAGUGAAGCAGGCCUGCCUCGUUUGUGGGUGGGUUGACGGUAGCUGGAUAAGAAGCGCCGGCUAACUACGUG
rnacentral:rRNA from 1 species